CUUGCGACGUUCACCGAGUAGUUUGAGCUUCUUCUCGUUUCAAGAAAAUGGCACUUAAAUUGUUCCAUAUUGUAAUUUUUACAAUACUGAUUUUUUGUCUAUUUUUGCAGCCUGCUGAAGCGGAAAAUUUUUUUACAAAAAUUGGCGACUGGUUCAAAGGGGCAUACAAAGAUGUUAAAAAAUUUCUUCGUAGUGUGUUUAUACGCAAUCAUUCGGUUUAAUCAUUCGGUUACAAACAUUUCAAUGGAAUUGUGUUAAAAGUAUCUAAUAAUUGGAAUUAAAAUGUUCUUCAAAUAACAGCAUUAAA